CCUACGGGAGACAGCAGUAGGGAAUCUUCCACAAUGGGCGAAAGCCUGAUGGAGCAACGCCGCGUGGGUGAAGAAGGUCUUCGGAUCGUAAAACCCUGUUGUUAGAGAAGAAAGUGCGUGAGAGUAACUGUUCACGUUUCGACGGUAUCUAACCAGAAAGCCACGGCUAACUACGUGCCAGCAGCCGCGGUAAUACGUAGGUGGCAAGCGUUAUCCGGAUUGAUUGGGCGUAAAGGGAACGCAGUCGGUCUUUUAAGUCUGAUGUGAAAGCCUUCGGCUUAACCGGAGUAGUGCAUUGGAAACUGGGAGACUUGAGUGCAGAAGAGGAGAGUGGAACUCCAAGUGUAGCGGUGAAAUGCGUAGAUAUAUGGAAGAACACCAGUGGCGAAAGCGGCUCUCUGGUCUGUAACUGACGCUGAGGUUCGAAAGCGUGGGUAGCAAACAGGAUUAGAUACCCCUGUAGUC
rnacentral:rRNA from 1 species